rnacentral:rRNA from 1 species
AUGGCGAGCUUGCUCCUCGUGAUGGAAGGUGGAGGGAUCUGCAACGGCAUGGGCUGCUGCACCGUCACUUUCCCCGUGGCGUUCCGAGGGUUUAGGGUGACCAUCGUGAAGAACAACGAGACAGUGCCACAGCCUUUUGCUAACAUCACCAUCAAGGCUUUCUUGUCAUUCCGCCCGUAUAUCUUUAGUAUUGCGGACCUGUUGUCCGAUAAGAUAAAUGCAAGCACUGUCGGUGCUUCCUCUGCUGCGUACCUCUCGACUGUGAUCACAGAUAAGCCCAAUUGCGCAAAAGCUCGGUCGGAUGAUAAGACACGGUAUGCCUGUGGCAGUAGCAAUUGUGAGAAUGUGGCAAAUGGAGGCUACUAUUGUACCUGCUCUGGCAGUUCUGAUGAUGGUAAUCCCUACAUUCUUGAUGAUUGCAAACAAGAGUAUAAUCAUACCCCCAAAAUGAACUGUUCUAGAUCAUGUGGUAGCACAAACGUUCCUUUCCCUUUUGGGUUUGAACCAGGGUGUUACGCUACCAGGAGAUUUCAACUGAAUUGCGCAUCCAAUCGCACUCUUAUUGGCAGACCACCUGCAAAAUAUGAAGUGACAAAUAUUUCAUUAGAUGAUGGACUGCUAUAUGUUAAUAAGCUUUCAGAGUUUGAAGAUGCCAACAUGAAUUAUCUAUCAAUAUACUACGGUGGCUCUGGAUAUUUUGGUCAGCAACUGGUAUAUGGAUUGGAUAAGUCUGAUUUAUCUGAGGAAUUUGGUGUCUGGAGGUGGUCCGCGGCCAACCUUACAUGUGAAAGUGCAAAAAAAGACAGAGCGUAUGCAUGCCGUAGCGCGAAUAGUGAGUGUAUUGGUGUCACGCAUGGAAAACUCUACAUUGGUUAUCGAUGCAAGUGCUCUCCUGGCUUUGAAGGAAAUCCUUAUGUCGAAAAUGGAUGCACAGAUAUUGACGAGUGUCUGAUACCCAAUAACUGUAAUGGGACAUGCUAUAACCUGAAAGGAAGCUUCCGUUGUUGCCCUCAUGACAUGUUCUUUGAUCCAGUAGAAAAACAGUGCACUCCUGAUAAGCGGCAAAAUCUUGUUUUGGGGGUUUCUACUGGGAUUGGCAGUGGUUUUGGAGUACUAGCUCUUGCACUGGGUGCGAUUAUACUAAUGAGGAGAUUGAAGAGAGGCGCUCAAAGGAAAAUCCGAAGGGCAUUCUUCAGAAAAAACAGAGGUCUGCUCCUGGAGCAGCUGAUCUCAUCCACCAGUGAAAGCGUCACUCACAGCACAAGGAUAUUUUCCAUGGAAGAGCUAGAGAAAGCAACCAACAACUUUGACCCGACGCGUGUGCUCGGGCACGGAGGCCAUGGCACCGUCUACAAGGGGAUUCUAUCCGACCAGCGGGUGGUGGCCAUCAAGAAGUCCAAGAUGGUGGAGCAGAGCGAGAUCGACCAGUUCGUCAACGAGGUGUCCAUCCUGUCCCAGAUCAUCCACCGCAACGUGGUGAAGCUCUUCGGGUGCUGCCUCGAGUCCGAGGUGCCGCUUCUCGUGUACGAGUUCAUCUCCAACGGCACGCUCCAUGACGUCCUCCACGGCGACCCGGACGCCAAAUGCUUGCUGACGUGGGACGAUCGUAUCAGGGUUGCUCUGGAGGCUGCAGGGGCGCUUGCCUACCUCCAUUCGUCCGCCGCGAUGCCGAUCUUCCACAGGGAUGUGAAAUCUGCCAACAUACUAUUGGAUGACACUUUCACCACGAAGGUCUCGGACUUCGGCGCCUCCAGGUCCAUCUCCAUCGACCAGACUCACGUGGUGACCAUCGUGCAGGGGACAUUCGGGUACCUAGACCCGGAGUACUACUACACCGGGCAGCUCACCGAGAAGAGCGACGUCUACAGCUUCGGCGUGAUACUCGUCGAGCUCUUAACAAGGAAGAAGCCAAUUUUUCUCAACAGUCUUGGUGAGCAACAGAACUUGUGUCAUUACUUCCUUGGACGGCUGAAAGACGAAACCGUCAUGGAUAUUAUCGAUUCUCAAGUUGUGGAGGAGGCCAGCCAGAGCGAGAUCGACGAGAUGGCGUCGGUCGCCGCGAUGUGCUUGAGGACUAGAGGCGGGCAGAGACCUAAGAUGAAAGAAGUGGAGCUAAGGCUGCAGCUGCUGCGAGCUAGGAGGCGACCUCCUAGAAGACACGAACAAGAGUUGCAAAGGCACGGAGAGACCAAGCCGUUGUUGUCAACUCCAAUUAAGUCCAGAUCUACUUCUGUGGCCAUGGCCAAGAACGUUGAGCUUGGCAUCGUCGCUGAUAAUCCGCCAUCGCGGACUCUCACGAGGUGCUACUCCAUGGAGCAAGAGAUGGCAGCUUCAUCAGAGUUUCCUCGUUAG